rnacentral:misc_RNA from 1 species
GAUGAAGAACGUAGCGAAAUGCGAUAAGUAAUGUGAAUUGCAGAAUUCAGUGAAUCAUCGAAUCUUUGAACGCACAUUGCGCCCGCCAGUAUUCUGGCGGGCAUGCCUGUUCGAGCGUCAUUUCAACCAUCAAGCCCCCGGCUUGUGUUGGGGACCUGCGGCUGCCGCAGGCCCUGAAAACCAGUGGCGGGCUCGCUGUCACACCGAGCGUAGUAGAUUUUCAUCUCGCUCAGGGCGUGCUGCGGGUUCCGGCCGUAAAAAGCCUUAUUUACCCAAGGUUGACCUCGGAUCAGGUAGGAAGACCCGCUGAACUUAAGCAUAUCAAUAAGCGAGGA